rnacentral:rRNA from 1 species
UGAAAGCUCUGGCGCCUUGAGAUGGGCCUGCGGCUGAUUAGCUAGUUGGUGGGGUAAAUGCCUACCAAGGCGACGAUCAGUAGCUGGUUUGAGAGGAUGAUCAGCCACAAUGGAACUGAGACACGGUCCAUACUCCUACGGGAGGCAGCAGUAGGGAAUUUUGCGCAAUGGGCGAAAGCCUGACGCAGCAACACCGCGUGAGUGAUGAAGCUUUUCGGAGUGUAAAACUCUGUCAGUGGGGACGAAAAAUGACGGUACCCACAAAGGAAGCACCGGCUAACUCCGUGCCAGCAGCCGCGGUAAGACGGAGGGUGCAAGCGUUGUCCGGAAUUAUUGGGCGUAAAGCGUUCGUAGGCGGCAUGUCAAGUCUGAUGUUAAAGCCCGGAGCUCAACUCCGGUUAGGCAUUGGAUACUGGCAAGCUAGAGUACAGAAGAGGCAAGGGGAAUUCCUAGUGUAGCGGUGAAAUGCGUAGAUAUUAGGAGGAACACCGGUGGCGUAAGCGCCUUGCUGGUCUGUAACUGACGCUGAGGAACGAAAGCCCAGGGUAGCAAAUGGGAUUAGAUACCCCAGUAGUCCUGGCCGUAAACGAUGGAUAACUAGGUGUUGCAGGUAUCGACCCCUGCAGUGCUGCAGCUAACGCAAUAAGUAUCCCGCCUGGGGGAGUAACGCACGCAAGUUUUGAAACUUCCAAGGAAUUGACGGGGGACCCGCAACAAGCGGUGGAACAUUGUGGUUUAUUUUCGAAGCAACGCGAAGAAACCUAAUCAGUGGUUGGACAUCCCUGGGAACUUUUCAGAGAUGGAUUGGUGUCUUUCGGGGAACUCAGUGACAGGUUGUGCACCGGUUGUCGUCAGCUCGUGUCGUGAGAUGUUGGGUUAAGUCCGGCAACGAGCGCAACCCACGUUGUUAGUUGCCUGGUAAGAACCUGUUCUUGCAGUGCUCUCUAGCGAGACUGCCGGUGAUAAACCGGAGGAAGGUGUGGACGACGUCAAAUCAUCAUGCCCCUUAUGUCCUGGGCUACACACGUGUUACAAUGGGUGGGACAACGAGCAGCCAAUCAGCGAUGAUGAGCAAAUCUCGUAAACCUACUCUCAGUUCGGAUCGUAGUCUGCAACUCGACUACGUGAAGUCGGAAUCGCUAGUAACCGUAGAUCAGCACGCUGCGGUGAAUACGUUCCCGGGUCUUGUACACACUGCCCGUCACACCAUGGAAGCUGAUCACGCCC